GCCGAGAUAGCUCAGUUGGUAGAGCAGCGGAUUGAAAAUCCGCGUGUCACCAGUUCGACUCUGGUUCUUGGCA
rnacentral:tRNA from 1 species